GUUUAGAUUUUCAAUAAAUUGAUCAAAAUACUCUUAAUUCUCUUUCUCUCUUCUUUUUUUUUUCGUUCGUUUUUCUUCUCCAUCUUCGUCUCUCUUCUUCUCGUCGUCUCUUCCCCUUGUUCUCCUCCAGCUUUCUUUCCCUCCUCUUCCACGUCCCUCACGGCGACGCCGCGCUCCUCUCUCCUACCUUUUCCACGCCUUCACCGACUGCGGCGGU
rnacentral:lncRNA from 1 species